rnacentral:rRNA from 1 species
UGAGCAAUCUGCCCUUCUCAUCGGAAUAAGCGUUGGAAACGACGUCUAAUGCCGAAUACGACCUCCUUUCGCAUGAUCGGAGGUGGAAAGCUCCGGCGGAGAAGGAUGAGCUCGCGGCCUAUCAGCUUGUUGGUGAGGUAAUAGCUCACCAAGACGAUGACGGGUAGCCGGCCUGAGAGGGUGACCGGCCACACUGGGACUGAGACACGGCCCAGACCUCUACGGGA